rnacentral:rRNA from 1 species
AGUGAACGCUGGCGGUAGGCCUAACACAUGCAAGUCGAACGGCAGCACAGUAAGAGCUUGCUCUUACGGGUGGCGAGUGGCGGACGGGUGAGGAAUACAUCGGAAUCUACUUUUUCGUGGGGGAUAACGUAGGGAAACUUACGCUAAUACCGCAUACGACCUACGGGGGAAAGCAGGGGAUCUUCGGACCUUGCGCGAUUGAAUGAGCCGAUGUCGGAUUAGCUAGUUGGCGGGGUAAAGGCCCACCAAGGCGACGCUCCGUAGCUGGUCUGAGAGGAUGAUCAGCCACACUGGAACUGAGACACGGUCCAGACUCCUACGGGAGGCAGCAGUGGGGAAUAUUGGACAAUGGGCGCAAGCCUGAUCCAGCCAUACCGCGUGUGUGAAGAAGGCCUUCGGGUUGUAAAGCCCUUUUGUUGGGAAAGAAAAGCAGCAGGUUAAUACCCCGCUGUUCUGACGUUACCCAAAGAAUAAGCACCGGCUAACUUCGUG